UGGGGAAUAUUGGACAAUGGCCGCAAGCCUGAUCCAGCCAUGCCGCGUGAGUGAUGAAGGCCCUAGGGUUGUAAAGCUCUUUCACCGGUGAAGAUAAUGACGGUAACCGGAGAAGAAGCCCUGGCUAACUACGUG
rnacentral:rRNA from 1 species